UACGGGGGGGGCAAGCGUUGUUCGGAAUUACUGGGCGUAAAGGGCUCGUAGGUGGCCAUCUAAGUCAGACGUGAAAUCCCCCGGCUUAACCUGGGAACUGCGUCUGAUACUGGAUGGCUUGAAUCCGGGAGAGGGAUGCAGAAUUCCAGGUGUAGCGGUGAAAUGCGUAGAUAUCUGGAGGAAUACCGGUGGCGAAGGCGGCAUCCUGGACCGGCAUUGACGCUGAGGAGCGAAAGCCAGGGGAGCAAACGGG
rnacentral:rRNA from 1 species